rnacentral:rRNA from 1 species
CGGGUAGCGUAACACGUGAGCAACCUACCGAAAUGAGGGGGAUAGCCGUCCCAACGGACGGGUAAUACCGCAUACGCUCUAGUUCAGGCAUUUGGAUUAGAGGAAACCUCCGGGGGCAUUUCGAGGGGCUCGCGGCCUAUCAGCUAGUUGGUGAGGUAACGGCUCACCAAGGCGACGACGGGUAGCUGGUCUGAGAGGAUGGCCAGCCACAUUGGGACUGAGAUACGGCCCAG